rnacentral:lncRNA from 1 species
UGGGUGACUUGGCGUGCUCUUAGAGGAGCCACAUGCCGGGCAAUAGAAUCUCCAGAGCUGCUUAAUUAUUGCCUUAGGGGGCUGGGUGGUAAGGUUACUGAUGAUGGCAUGAUGGUUGCCGUCCGUUGCAAUGCUGAAACAAGUGCAAUGGAGUACAGGUCAGGCAAAACAUAUCAGCUUGUAUCUUGCUUAUUUCUAGUUUUAAGUCUAUUCAGGCAUCAAUUCUAUGCAUUGCUACUAAUCCUAUGCAUUGCAACUAAUCCUAUUGGAGGGCCACAAGGUGAUCACUCUUGAUAAAAUAUUAUUGGGUGAAAUCUUUACAUACUGAUUGUCAGUAUAUAUUUUCCUUUUCUGGAAAAUGCAGGCUUGAGGAAGCUUCAAACCAGAUGCAGUCCACUCAAUACUUGUCCAGGCCAACUGCCGAUCAGCUCCUCCAUGAUCUCAAAUUCUUGUAUGAUGCCAUUCUUAAUCCGACGACCAUGCAAUCUUACAAGCCACAGGCCACAAAUGAUUCCGUCAGGAGUUCAGCAUCAAAACUCCUCGACUGUAAGCAAUUCAUAAAGCAUUAUGAUGAUCCUGCUUCUGGUUGGUUGUCUUCUGGUCCAUUUGUGCUUCGGAUCUGGUGCCAUGUCGAGUUGAUUGAUCAUCCUAAGGACUAUACUGCUUCCCCACCGGAGCUUUUGAUUCUGCCAAUGUCUGCCACUGUAGCUGAUUUAAAGCAACAAGUGGCUAGAGCUUUUCAAGAAACAUACCUCGUCUUCCAAAGGUUCCAAGUUGAGCAGUUAAUAUUGGACCGUGGAGAUAUUGGUGAGUUAACUCUUGUCAAGCAUAUAUUUGGUCCAAAUGAAAUUGCCAUGAUCAGAGGAAAGUGUGUUGGAGAUGAUAGAAGGCUGGGACAGUUCCGUAUGGAAAGAGGGUUGGAGAAUUGGAUUGUGGAUUGUUAUUGUGGAGCAAAAGA